UGCGUCUGGGUUUGUACAUACUAUAGACAGCGUUGGGCAGGAGGAUGUGAAAAGUUUCUUUGAAAGAUGGAAAAAUUACUAGCAAGACAAUAUUGCAGGAGGGAACGGCUUGCGUGAGGUGGAGGGAGGAAGAACAGGACAGCUAGAUUCAGCUUGUGAGAUAGACUUGCAAAACUGCAAACCUUGUGAAUUUAGAUAACAUUGCUGUGCAGUGUAAUGAAAAUCGUUCCAGUCUUUACAGGCUGUACCUUUUCAUCAAGUCAGCACGGGCCCCUGAGGACUGCAAAGUGUGAGGUGACCCGUCGCCAGCCGGCUAAAUAAAGCUUGCAUAUGGAAUUCAAACUGGGUCGAGUGAGUCUGGUGGUUGGUGUUAACUGCAGGCUAACAUUUCUGGGAGCUCACACGGGAUCCGGCCACCAACCCUCCCCACCCCCAGGAAAACACCCAACUUGGCCAGUAGAACACUUCCAGGGGGUGCGCAACCUGAGGACUUUCCAGGUCCCUGGAGACGGUCUUCUCCUGGCGACACAGGGUCUCAAAUUGCAAGCAUCUGGUCAGGACCUCGAGGUAAUAUGGGACAGUCCUCAUCUACUGUGGAAGGAUCUCUUCAAUGUUUCCUAACCAAUUUUUCUCAAUUUAAAAGAGAACUCUCCCGAAUUAUGGUUAUCAUAUAAAAUCUGAUGAAUUGAAAAUGUUUUUGCAUGAAUGAAUGGCCUAUGUUCAGGGUCAGAUGGCCCCCAGAGGGGACUUUCGAUUGCGAAGGGUUCUUGCCAUUAUUAUGGGGAAAUUUUUUUCUGGGUUGUAGGUUUUAAGAAUUCAUGCAUACUCAUUGAUCACAAAGGGGCCCACUCCCCUUUGUAUCUUUUUCAGUCACUCUGGAAUAGGUUGAAAACGAUUAUCAAUAGUCAAUUGCUUAGUCAAACUAAGAAGUACAUGAUUCACCUGUCUAUCUUCUCUGCCUGUAGACAUGCUUGUAUCAAAUUAAACCAUAUUUGUUUUCAAGAUAUCUUCACUGGUUCUUUUUAUCUCACCUUGUACAUUCAGUUUUUCUUAGGUCAGCCCCUAUAUUUGCUGCUUGAAUUGUGAUAUCUCCUGCUACCAAGGGGUUUGAAAUUGACACUAAUGUCCCAUACUGAUUGCAGGGGACUUGCUACAGGAUCAAAUCACGCAUUCCUGCCAUAAAUGUUAUUAAAACAGACACCUCAAAAUAAUCAUGGUAAAUUGCCCCCUUCAUUCCUAAUUCUCAGGUCUGAUUUUGUAGCUCUUCCAUCAUGAUCCACGUUUUACUGGGCAUUGGUAAAUCACUUUCAUUUGGCCAAGUAGCCCUCCAUGCAGCUGUAAGCCACUGCAAAAGUGAGUUAUUCUCAUUCUGAUGCUGAGUAGCAGAACGUUCUGUCGGUGUCUCAUCAGGGACAUUUGGCUCAAGGAAGAUCAUAUUGCUCUCUACAAUGGUCUGAGUAGGUUGUAGCAAGGUGGGAAUUGGCCUCUUCUUCCAGGUAACUAACGAUAGGAUGAGAGGAAACGGCCUCAAGUUGUGCCAGGAGAGGUUCAGGCUGGAUAUUAGGAAAAACUUUUCUGAAAGAGUGGUUGGGCACUGGAAGAGUCUUUGUAACAGAGAUAAUGAACAUUAUGUUCACUGUGUUGUUGCAUCAGUCAUAAGGUGGAAUUUUGUAGUUCUUUUCUUGGAACACCCUCAAAAGCAGUGAGAUACGUGGACAUCAAGGAAAGCUGUUAAGCCCCUGGUUUUGGUUUCACUGAGCAGAAAAGGAGGCAUUCCAGGGCUAAUGUAAUAGGGGUCUGUGGCUGAGAUGCAACAUGUAAGCCUGGAUGUGUCUGAAUCCAGAGAUGAGCUGGAUCAGGGUGUAGGGAAGGAAGCUGUGAGUUAGAACAGAGCCUGUCAGCAAGUUUGUGAUGCGUGAACAUGUCAGGCACAUGUACUGCUGUCACAGUGUUUUGGCUGGUCAUUAUAAUGAAGGCCUGAAGAGCACGGCCUGUACAUCUGCCAGUCUCCUGGAAGCACAGGUAUGCAUAGGUGGAUCCACAGUGCUUUCUUUCCACAUUCUGCAUGUGGGGAUUGCUGAUUGAAAGGAUCACUUUUCCUGACACCUGGAGAUUGCUGUUUGACUUCAGUAAGGGAAGUUUGAUGCAGAAUUCUAUGUCUUUCUGUUCUGUUUGUAAUUAACGCCUGUAAGUUUCUGCUCUAAUGAGCCCCAGUGGGAACACACUGUCCAGCUUCAUUUCCAGUCUUUAAUCUCACACUGGGCCCAAUUAAAACUCCAAGUAACUUUUCUAUCUUCUUCUGCCUGUCAUUUCUCCAAGGCAUAUUGCCAGAUUUUGCCACAGCUUUUAAGUAUGAGAUUAGCACCAUAUUCCUCAAGGGACUCAUUAAAAUGGUGACAGCUAUAAUGAGCUCUGCUCAUAGUUUUCUGCCACUUCCUUCAGCCUUACAAACAUUGUACAGUCAAUUAGGGAGCUCUCAGACGUGUUUCAGUGAAUACAUACAGUACCAUUUUGAUUUGUAACUUGUUUUAAUUAUAUAUGAUAAGAAGAAUGGAAAUGCAUACAUUUUGAAAGAAAAUUAUUCUGCUUUAUAUCCCGGUGGGAAUCAGACAGAGAGAGGAAAAAUUUCCUUGUGAUCAAGCAGUGGGUGGCUGGAGACAUCCUUUGAUUCAUGUACUGGGAAUAAGACAGACUUUGUUACAGUUUGUUCUAGUGUCACAGCUGUUUGCAGAGCCUUUACCUGCUCUAAUUACAAUUGUCUUUACCUGUUUUCCUAACUAUGCGCAGAAACCAGAAGAAUAUUCAUCAUCAUUCCCCCCAGAUUUCAAGGCUUGUUUUAAUGAAAGGAAGAAAAGUGUUUAUUACAAAUAAAAAUUUAUGUUGUGUGUUAAGAACGUUAUUCCUAGAUGGUUGAGGGAAAUGCUUGUUCUGCUCUCCUCUGUACUGAGGUAUAGCCUCACUUUGAGUACUGUGCGCAGUUUUGGACAUCAUGGUAUAAGAAGAACAGGCAUGACUCCAUACAAUACUUAGUGAAAAAAGCUACAUUAUUUUAUGCCUGAUAGAGGCACCAAUACCCAAAGCAAAACGUUAUGAAAAUUUCCAUAAUAAAAGACAGAAAAAGAAAGCAAGAAACUUGAGGAGGAAAUAAUACUUCUUUCUCCAAAAGAGUUUUUUUUAAAAUCAUUCUAUACAUUUUUAAUUUUAAGAAAGGUUACUAUCUACCUCUUUACCAAUUUUCUGUAGUUUUACUCAUAACUGUAUUGUUUUGUCUAGCUGACAAUGUUUUGUAAGUGUUUUUUUGACUAAAAAUGGUAUACAAAUUUUAAAUGAAGUUUCACCAACUAGUUAGAUAUUUAAAAAAUCAUUCUUCUGUUCAACUGUUUAUAUCUGAAAGUUAUUUGUUAUAAGUUCCCAUGUUCCCAUCAUAGAAAUGUUAAAAAAUGGCUUAAUGGUUUUGAGUUUGGAGAAAAAAUAUUCCAUCCCAAAUGAAUGCUCCUAUCCAUAGCUCUACUUCACUGCUCUGUAAGGCAUGAAAUAUAUGAAAUUAUCCAACAAGCCUGAGCAUUUAAUCUGAAUAUUGCAUGAUGCGUCUGUGGCUCUCCAUUUGUGUCUGUGCAUGCUUAAGGCCUUUUCUUUUUCCUUUUCAAAAAUCCUGAUGAGGACCUUGCUUUUUCAUCAAUAGCCAGUAUAGAAUUGAGUUGACAUUGGCCAGUGGACAUAAAGGGCAACAAAAAAUGCUUCUCUAAGUAUCUCAGUGAUAAAAGGAAGACUAGGUAAAAUGUAGGCCCUCUCUGGAAGAAGACGGGAGACCUGGUUACCUGGGAUAUAGGGAAGGCUGAGGUACUCAACAAUGUUUUGCCCAUCUUCACCAGCACAUGCUUCAGCCACACCGUGGAAGUUGCAGAAGACAAAAGCAGAGACUAGGAGAAUGAAGAACCACUCACUGUAAGAGAAGAUCAGGUCUAAGGCCAUUUAAGAAACCUAAAGGUGCUUAACUCCAUGGAGCCUGAUGAGAUGCAUCCGAGGAUCCCACGGGAACUGGUAAAUGACAUUACUAAGCUACUAUGCAUCACAUUUAGAAGCUGUGGCAGUAUGGUGAAAUUUUCACCAAACAGAAAAGGGGAAAAAUAACUCCCACUUUCGAAAAGUGGAAAAAAAGAAUAUCCUGGGAACUACAGGCUGGUUAGACUUGUGUCUGGGCCCAACAAGAUCAUGGAGUCAGUGUUCUUGGAAACUGUUCUAAGGCACAUGGAAAACAAGGACAGCCAGCAUGGCCUCAGUAAGGGCAAAUCAUGCUUGAAAAAUUUGGUGGCCUUCUUUAACAGGGUUACAGCAUUGGUAGAUAAUGAAGAGCAACUGAUGUCAUUUACCUAGACUUGUGCAAAGCAUUUGAUACUAUCCCUCAUGACAUUCUUCUCUCUAAAUUGGAGAGACGUGGAUUUGAUGAGAGACAUGGACCACUCUGUGGAUAAGGAGCUGACUAGUCAGUGUCAUGAUGUGUAGGUGAAGACCACUGAUGAGCAGUGCUCCUCAGAGGACGGUUCUGGGACCAAUGCUGUUUAACAUCUUUGUCUGACAUGGACAGUGGGAUUGAGUGAACCCUCAGCAAAUUUACUGGCAAUACCAAGUUAUGUGCUGCAGUCAACAUGCUGGAGGAAAGGGAUGUCAUCCAGAGGGACCUUAACAGGUAUCAGUGGUUUUAGGCUGGUUCGGCCCAAUUCCAUGACUAAUUGAGGUGGAGGGACACAUGGACCCAUGCCCCAGGAGAGGGGAAAGAGGGGUAGGAAAAAGGUAGGGAGAUGGGCCUACAAAUAGAACAGCAGCAACAAGCUAAGGGAGAAAACUAGUUUACUAAAUAUGAUACCAGAAUGCAAAUAACACAAUAUAAUACAAUAUAAUUUGAAUUGAAGUUAAUAAAUCACAUAAAAUGAGAGUGAGAGUGUCCAAAACCAAAGGCCUUACUCUAAUGCUCUCUAAAUUCUGAGAACCCUGUACCUGGAAAUAUUGACAAUCCACGGAACUGGAGCAUUAACUCUUUAACUCAAAGUGCACUACAUGAUAUUAUGAUGUCAUAAAACCAUGACAAUAGGCUUGAGUGAUGGGCCCAUGCAAACAUCAAGUUCAACAAGGCCAGUUGCAAAGUCUUGCACCUGGGUUGAGAAAAUCCCAAGCACAAAUACAGGCUAGGUGGGAAUGGAUGGAGAAUAGCAAUGCAGAGAAGGACUUAAUGGGUCUUGGCUGAAGAGAAACUCUACAUGAGCCUGCAAUGUCUAAUCAAAGCCCAGAAAGCCGAUGGUUAUCUAGGCUGCAUCAAAAGAAGUGUAGCUGACAUAUUGAAAGAGGAUAUUCUCCCCCUCCACCCUCGUGAGACCCAACCUGAAGUACCCUGUUUAGCUCUGGAGCCCCCAGGAUAAGGACAUGACCCUGUUGGAUGAAGUCCAGAGGAUGAUCAGAGGUAUAGAGUGCCUCUCUGAUGAAGAAAGGCUGAGAGAGUUGGGCUUGUUCAGCCUGGAGAAGAGAAGGCUUCAGGGAGACCAGAUUCUUCCAGUACUUACAGGGAGCUUAUCAACAAGAUAGGGACCGACUUUUAACAUAGUCUGAUAGCGACAGGUGAAUCGCAUCUGGUGCCGUAAUAAACAUACCUGCUUUAUAACCUUA